GACGAACGCUGGCGGCGUGCCUAAUACAUGCAAGUAGGACGCAGUCGCGAACGGGUGAGUAACGCGUAGGUCACUGCCUAUUAGAGGGGGCUAACUAUUGGAAACGAUAGCUCAUACCGCAUACUAGUAGAUGGACCUGCGUUUUAUUAGCUAGUAGGUAGGGUAAUGACCUACCUAGCCAACGAUACAUAGCCGACCUGAUAGGGUGAUCGGCAACACUGGGGCUGAGGCCCGGCCCAGACUCCUACGGGAGGCAGCAGUAGGGAGUCUUCGGCAAUGGGGGGAACCCUGACCGAGCAACGCCGCGGGAGGUAGGAAGAUGGUCGGAUCGUAGAGCACUGUUGUUAGGGAAGCGGUACUUAACCAGAAGGGGACGGGUAACUACGUGCCAGCGGCCGCGGUAAUAC
rnacentral:rRNA from 1 species